GAGUUCAUGCCCCCUGGGGUAGACCUCCCACCCUGUGUUAUUUACUCUUGUUGCUUUGGUAGGAUGGUUGAGGACUGGAGCCGCUCGUAAAACAGUGGCGAUAGUGAUCUUCCUUCAGCGUUGUAACAGGCGCUCCUGCCAGAGGCCCCCUAAUACUUUUAAUUAAUGUCGUCUGAGUACUAUAAAAUAAGUUAAAACUUUCAACAACGGAUCUCUUGGUUCUGGCAUCGAUGAAGAACGCAGCGAAAUGCGAUAAGUAAUGUGAAUUGCAGAAUUCAGUGAAUCAUCGAAUCUUUGAACGCACAUUGCGCCCCUUGGUAUUCCGGGGGGCAUGCCUGUUCGAGCGUCAUUUCAACCCUCAAGCUCAGCUUGGUCUUGGGUCCUGCCGGCAACGGCUGGCCUUAAAAUUAGUGGCGGUGCCAUUGAGCUCUACGCGUAGUAAUUAAACCCUCGCUUUUGAGUCUUGGUGAACGCUUGCCAGCAACCCCCAAUUUUCUAUGGUUGACCUCGGAUCAGGUAGGGAUACCCGCUGAACUUAAGCAU
rnacentral:sRNA from 1 species